GGAUCGCAGCCCAGGUGUGCUUGCUGGCUGUUCUCCACCUGAUUACUGCACCUGAGGCUGGCGCAUUCUUCUUGCCCUUCUGGUGUUUCAAGUUUGCGAGGAAGUGGCGCCUGCCCUGGCUAGGCGAGGAGGAUGGCCGGCACGAACACGUGCACUACCAUAACCACAACCACAACCACGGGCACAGGCUGCCAGUGCCGCCACGCCGGCCGUUCUUCAGAUAAGCAACGCACUGCGUCAACAGCUGAGCAGCAU